rnacentral:rRNA from 1 species
AUGAAAAAAAGAAAAUGGCCAGGGCAGCCUUGCUGCCCUUUUUGCAAGGAGGUGGAAACAACCCAGCAUCUCUUCUUUACUUGUCCAGUGGCCAGGGUAGUAUGGCGAUCUAUUGGGGUGGUUUUAGGCACUCACAAAUGUUCAAGGAAUUAUUGGCAAUAUUUCGUUUGGUGUCACAAGUUUCUUCCUGGGAAGAAAACAUUCUACACGCUGGGCUUAGCAACCACUUGCUGGGCCAUCUGGUUGGCGGAUAAUCGGGCUACUUUUGAAAAGAAACAAAUCAAGACACCUUUUGAGAUUGUGUUUUCUCUGUGCUCUUUUCCAGUUUACUGGAUAGGUUUACAACAAGGAGACGCCGCCAGGGAGUUACAUACAAGAGCAGAGAUGAUCAGGACGAGUACAAUGCAGCUGAUGAAGAUGUGUGAUGCUGCCAAGCAACCGAUCCAAGGUGCCUGA